rnacentral:piRNA from 1 species
GAAUCAGUGCACCAUAAAAGUACCUGUCU